rnacentral:tRNA from 1 species
GCCUUCGUAGUGUAGUGGUCAGUACGCUCGACGCGUAACCGAGAGGUCCGUGGUUCGAUUCCUGGCGAAGGCG